rnacentral:rRNA from 1 species
UCGCUUACAGAUGGGCCCGCGGUGCAUUAGCUAGUUGGUAGGGUAAUGGCCUACCAAGGCAACGAUGCAUAGCCGACCUGAGAGGGUGAUCGGCCACACUGGGACUGAGACACGGCCCAGACUCCUACGGGAGGCAGCAGUAGGGAAUCUUCCGCAAUGGACGAAAGUCUGACGGAGCAACGCCGCGUGUAUGAAGAAGGUUUUCGGAUCGUAAAGUACUGUUGUUAGAGAAGAACAAGGAUAAGAGUAACUGCUUGUCCCUUGACGGUAUCUAACCAGAAAGCCACGGCUAACUACGUGCCAGCAGCCGCGGUAAUACGUAGGUGGCAAGCGUUGUCCGGAUUUAUUGGGCGUAAAGCGCGCGCAGGCGGUCUUUUAAGUCUGAUGUGAAAGCCCCCGGCUUAACCGGGGAGGGUCAUUGGAAACUGGAAGACUGGAGUGCAGAAGAGGAGAGUGGAAUUCCACGUGU